GGUCUGUGAGAAAACAGGUUCAAGAGUUUGAAAAGAAAUCUCAUAUAAGAAAUCUAUUCCAUGGCACUGCAACAGUUAAAAAACAACCUUCUUGUGAGGGUCCAGACGAUGUUCCCAGCAACGAGAAGAGUGAUGCAGAUGCAGAACAUCAGGAUCCUUCACAUUCUGACCAGGAAGUUGAGCCAGGUGGGGAUUUCACUGCUUUGAAUGCAGAGGCACCUGCUGCUCCCUCUGCUCAGCAACCUGUCAGUCCGUCCCACAAUGAUACUAAUAAGACAUCUACAUGUGAUGAUAAUAAAAAUAAUCAAACUGGCAAAGUUGAAGGCCAAAGUCAGAUGCCAUCAGAAGGAAAUGUCCAAGAACUUGUUUCAAAUUUUGUAAACAACCCAGACAAUCAAACAGAUACGAAACAGUCUUUUUGUGCAGAGACAAAACAACUAGAUCCUUUACAUCCUGAGCAGAGAAAUGAAGCAGGUUUGAAUAAUGAGGCACCUCAGAAUAAACACAUCAACCCCCUCAGUGAACCUGCUGCUCCAACUGCUCAGCAACCUGUCAAUCUGUCCCACGAUGAUACUAAUAUGACAUCUACAUGUGAUGAACCUUAUAAUAAAAAUGAUCAAACUGGAAAAGAAGAUGGUCAAAGUCAGAUGCCACCAGAAGGAAUUGUCCACAAACGUGUUUUAGAAUUUGAAUAUAUCCCAGACAAUCAAACAGAUCAACAAAAGCAGCUCCAUAAAGAUGGGGGUGAAGAACCUCCUGCAAAGGAAACAGUCAGAUAUCUGGGCACGCGGUUUCCAGCUGUGGGAACCAAGGAUACUACUGAACACAAUGAAGGUGCAGACUCUGAUCAGGUGACAGACGAAACUAAAGCGGAAAAUGUUGAACUGUCUGAAUGUGAGAAAAACAACGAUCCAAAUAAAAAAAGUCAAAUAAGAAAAGCAGUUUCUGAUCAAACUGAAUCAGACAAUAAUCAGUCUCAGAGACCUCCAAACCCAGAAAAACCAGACCAGAGCAACUCACUACAGGAGUCUCCAGAUGCCACACAUUCUGACUUAGAUCAACAAACACAAGAUAAGGUGGAGUGUGAUUCACCCAAGUGUGAGGAGCAGUCAGACAACAACACAACUGUCAGCAAGGAAAACAAUGGUAAAGAGGAAGGAGACACUGAUGACAAUGAAGGCCAAUGCAGUGGAAAAGAAAAGCAGCCAGACAAGGAGAGUGAUGAUGAAGAAGAUACAGAAGAGACGAUGUUAGAAGAACAGUCUGCUAAAGAGAGUGAGAGUAAAGACACAGAAGAGAUAGGGUUACAACAGUCAGAUAAAGAGAGUGAUGAUGAGGAGACAAGGUUAGAAGAGUCAGAUGAAGAUGGUAAUGAUGAAGAUACAGAACAGAAGAUGUUAGUAAAAUAAGUGUUAUACCGUUAUAAUAAUGAUAACAAUAAAUAAUGUUAGCGCAGCA
rnacentral:lncRNA from 1 species